UUCUUGCAAUUGCAUUCUUGGCUGCCUUAGGUGCCCAAUGAUUUGAUGUUUCCAUUCCAUUUGCUUGCGUUAACUGCAUGUCAGUUGCUGCAAUGGCCCCUUCUUUAUGCUAUUAUAUGUUGCUAGCUUUGGUGGCCUCAAGAAUGUGAUUUUAUGCAUGGGGACUGAAUUUUGUUUUGCACAAGGAGUAUCUUUAUGGUUGCUUCAGAAUAGUUGAGUGAAAAACGGUUCUGCUGAGCAGGAACAUGCUGUCGGAUUCUUCAGGCACAACUGACAAGUGUUUCACAUUCCUGUCUUGUGGGGCUCAAAAGAUCCAUUCUGAAAGAAAUACAAAAUAUUAUCAAUAAAGCAUCCUCAUUGGUAGAUGUUGAGAAGCGGUACAUCAUUGGUCCGCGUCUAGCUUGAAAAGGCCGAAGAUUUGGUGGAUAGUAUCUUCCGAUCUCGGAUAUUUUCUGGGAGCUGACAAUUUUUGCUGGAUACAUUUGAUCAGUGGUGUGGGUGACUGAACUUUGGGAUACACUUGUACAACUUAAAACUGGAGUUUGCGUGC